GUGGAAGGGUGUCGAUGUCUUGGUGAUGAAGAAUACAAUAAUCAGGUUACUGAGGUGUCAUCCAAGGCUGAUAUUUGUGCUUCGUAUCUUCAUCCAUCUAACUUCAGUUCUCUCUUUGAAUAUGUCCCCCCACCACCUUUCCUGUACCAACCAGCAACCCCUGCUU